rnacentral:rRNA from 1 species
GAUGAACGCUGGCGGCGUGCCUAAUACAUGCAAGUCGAGCGAACGGACGAGAAGCUUGCUUCUCUGAUGUUAGCGGCGGACGGGUGAGUAACACGUGGAUAACCUACCUAUAAGACUGGGAUAACUUCGGGAAACCGGAGCUAAUACCGGAUAAUAUUUUGAACCGCAUGGUUCAAAAGUGAAAGACGGUCUUGCUGUCACUUAUAGAUGGAUCCGCGCUGCAUUAGCUAGUUGGUAAGGUAACGGCUUACCAAGGCAACGAUGCAUAGCCGACCUGAGAGGGUGAUCGGCCACACUGGAACUGAGACACGGUCCAGACUCCUACGGGAGGCAGCAGUAGGGAAUCUUCCGCAAUGGGCGAAAGCCUGACGGAGCAACGCCGCGUGAGUGAUGAAGGUCUUCGGAUCGUAAAACUCUGUUAUUAGGGAAGAACAUAUGUGUAAGUAACUGUGCACAUCUUGACGGUACCUAAUCAGAAAGCCACGGCUAACUACGUGCCAGCAGCCGCGGUAAUACGUAGGUGGCAAGCGUUAUCCGGAAUUAUUGGGCGUAAAGCGCGCGUAGGCGGUUUUUUAAGUCUGAUGUGAAAGCCCACGGCUCAACCGUGGAGGGUCAUUGGAAACUGGAAAACUUGAGUGCAGAAGAGGAAAGUGGAAUUCCAUGUGUAGCGGUGAAAUGCGCAGAGAUAUGGAGGAACACCAGUGGCGAAGGCGACUUUCUGGUCUGUAACUGACGCUGAUGUGCGAAAGCGUGGGGAUCAAACAGGAUUAGAUACCCUGGUAGUCCACGCCGUAAACGAUGAGUGCUAAGUGUUAGGGGGUUUCCGCCCCUUAGUGCUGCAGCUAACGCAUUAAGCACUCCGCCUGGGGAGUACGACCGCAAGGUUGAAACUCAAAGGAAUUGACGGGGGCCCGCACAAGCGGUGGAGCAUGUGGUUUAAUUCGAAGCAACGCGAAGAACCUUACCAAAUCUUGACAUCCUUUGACAACUCUAGAGAUAGAGCCUUCCCCUUCGGGGGACAAAGUGACAGGUGGUGCAUGGUUGUCGUCAGCUCGUGUCGUGAGAUGUUGGGUUAAGUCCCGCAACGAGCGCAACCCUUAAGCUUAGUUGCCAUCAUUAAGUUGGGCACUCUAAGUUGACUGCCGGUGACAAACCGGAGGAAGGUGGGGAUGACGUCAAAUCAUCAUGCCCCUUAUGAUUUGGGCUACACACGUGCUACAAUGGACAAUACAAAGGGCAGCGAAACCGCGAGGUCAAGCAAAUCCCAUAAAGUUGUUCUCAGUUCGGAUUGUAGUCUGCAACUCGACUACAUGAAGCUGGAAUCGCUAGUAAUCGUAGAUCAGCAUGCUACGGUGAAUACGUUCCCGGGUCU